rnacentral:miRNA from 1 species
GAAUUCUGUGAGAAGAGAUUUC